GCGGAGUCCCCGCGCCCCUCCGCCAGCCCUAACGGGGCCCUGCAGCCUGGAGACGCAGCCUCCUUCGGCACGGCUGCUCCGGGGCUGCCGGCAGCUCUCCGUGAUCCGAUUAGACUCUCAACUUGCCUUCUGCUUUCGCUUCCCCCAGGCUCCUCGGUGCGCUCCACCUGGGAGGCCACCGCCGGAACCGAGGCUGGGGAAGGAAAGAACACUGGCCACGAGUCAGCACUGCUGUGUGACCUCGGGCAAAAGUCAUCUCCCUCUCUGGGCUUCCGUUUCCGUCUGGCGUGAAAUGGGCAGGGCAGUAAGAGACUGGGGAAACUCAGGCAGAGUCCCCAAGCCCGGGUGACACUAAUGCGAGGUGGGCGGAGGGGCAAGGAUUGGAAACUCAGCCCGUGGGACAGAACUCUCCCUUAAACCCCACAAGGAUUGUACGAAGCAGAUCCUACGAAGUCUGUUGACAGGGAGCGUCCCUCUAGGUGCCGGGUUCCCUUCUGCGGCACAGCCCCCAGCCCUGCCUUCCAAGCCCAUGGAAGGUGAUCCGGAGAACCGGCAAGAGCAUUGCAGGGCAGAUAGGAAAGGGCUGGGGAAGUGGCCCCCAGCCCCCGGCCUCGACCCCUAGUCCCUGGCUCCUGGCCCCCAGCUCCCGG